rnacentral:lncRNA from 1 species
CUUUCUUGUACUGAGGGCCCCAGGCCCUCUGUAAUGUCCUCUGUAAUGUCCUCUGUAUCUUCUGUUCUACAAUUAGUAUUUUAUUUAGCCUUUUUCUCUUUAAUAGCAAUAGCAAUAGUUCUCAAAAUUGUGACUUACAAUAAUCUGCACAUGAAAAUCACCUGUGCAAAACCAGAGGAGGAGAUAGAAAGGUCAGUGUAGUGCAGGGUUUAGUUAUAGGGAUGAGAAAUCAGGGGACUACACAGGAAAUGAGAAUGGUGAGAUCCAGUCUUGUUUCAUACACAAGUGAAUAAUCAACACUGUUAAAUUAUGGGAUAUUAUCUAUUUUCCACAUGCUUCCGUGAGUUAAUUCAAUCCAGUGUAUCCAUUAGGCAUUUGUUCUCCAGCUGCUUCUACUCACCUUUCUGGUAGAAAUUUAGCCCUGCGUAUGGCCUUGAAUUUAACUUAUUUUCUGUAUAUGAAGGCCUCUGCAGAAUUUGUUAACUUCAUUCAGAACAUAACAUGUAACAUAGUUUGAUGCUUGUCUAAGCUGGCAAAAGAACCUGUUUGGUUGUAAUAACUUGUGAACAUUUGCUCAUCCAAGUGCUUGAGGAAUGGCCAUGCUUUGUGUGGGCUUUGUUAUUGGUGGUACAUUUCUGUGGUCACAGGGAACAGAUAUUUUCAUAAGGACUCAGACAGAGCAAAAGAUUUCAAAGUAGUGUUACUUAAAUACAUAUUUGAAUUUUUAUAUGAAUUUUCUCUAAUUAAAGCCUAUCUUCUUGCUGCAUUGUGAUCCUGGAAAGUAAGGUAGAGUUUAUAAUUCUUGAAAAAGAUUUCUUUAAUUAUAACCAUUCUCUUUCUAUAUUCUAAGCUUGUUAAAGCACAUAUCCAGGUGAUGUUUAUGUAUGUCUGUACACAAACACUCUAUUUGUUGACUUGCAGCAUUUUACUCCAGAACAUACCUGUAGCAGUUUGGCCUCCUUCUCCUGAGAAAAAAAUAAGAGCAGUGCUUAUAAAGAUGACCUAUGAACGUGCACCCUACAUUGGCUUAACACAAUGCCUAAGCUGCCAGUCAGAAAACAUUAACAGCAUUUUGAUGUUAAAAAUUAACUUUCCUGAAGACAAGUUAUUCGAGUUGCGAAACAAUGAAACACACAAGAAAAGAAGGGAGUACAGAAUAGCUAUGAUGUUUGUUUAUGUAUUUGAAGUAGAGGAACUUGCCCAUGUAUUAUGAAACACUGAGUAACCUUAAUGACUCAGUGAUUAAA